AGGGGCAUUUGCUACUUUUUCAUCGAGGUACAGUGCCAAGCUGUACAGUUCACUUUUUUCUAACCCCUGAGUCUCCUGGUUCUUCCAAACCCAAAGUAGGCAAGGACCCAGAAGUCAGGUGCGCAGGAAGGAGAAACACAGGGCUCACUUAGUGCCCCAAUUCCCAGCUUCCAUAAACCACCGUCAUAUACCAGGUUGGACAGCAACACUUCCGAUGAUCAGAAGUUAAUCUCACAGCAGCAUCAAGGUGGAGUGCAGCAACAAAGACCUCCAUUCUGGGGUGUACGGGGGCUCGGUGCAUGAGGCCAUGACUGAUCUCAUUUUGCUGAUGGGCUCUUUGGUGGACAAGAGGGGGAACAUCCUGAUCCCCGGCAUUAACGAGGCUGUGGCUGCCGUCACGGAAGAGGAGCACAAGCUGUACGACGACAUCGACUUUGACAUAGAGGAGUUUGCCAAGGACGUGGGGGCGCA
rnacentral:sRNA from 1 species